rnacentral:rRNA from 1 species
GUGAUGCCUCGGUAUCACGAUUGCUUUUGCCAAAGUUGAUCAAACUUGAUGAUUUGGAGGAAAUAAAAGUCGUAACAAGGUUUCCGUAGGUGAACCUGCGGAAGGAUCAUUA